rnacentral:rRNA from 1 species
CACGUAGGCACCAAGCGUUGUCCGGAUUUAUUGGGCGUAAAGAGCUCGUAGGCGGUUCAGUAAGUCAGGUGUGAAAUCUUUGGGCUUAACCCAAAGCGUGCACUUGAUACUGCUGUGACUUGAGUUCGGUAGGGGAGCGGGGAAUUCCUAGUGUAGCGGUGAAAUGCGCAGAUAUUAGGAGGAACACCGGUGGCGAAGGCGGGUCUCUGGGCCGAAAUUGACGCUGAGGAGCGAAAGCGUGGGGAGCAAACAGG